AAGUAACCGCCGGAUGAACGGAUGUUAUUGAUGUUAACAAAAAUGAGAUGAUUCUCGUUACUUU
rnacentral:tRNA from 1 species